GCUCGAGUGGCGAACGGGUGAGUAACACGUGAGUAACCUGCCCUUGACUUUGGGAUAACUUCAGGAAACUGGGGCUAAUACCGGAUAGGAGCUCCUGCUGCAUGGUGGGGGUUGGAAAGUUUCGGCGGUUGGGGAUGGACUCGCGGCUUAUCAGCUGUUGGUGGGGUAGUGGCUUACCAAGGCUUUGACGGGUAGCCGGCCUGAGAGGGUGACCGGCCACAUUGGGACUGAGAUACGGCCCAG
rnacentral:rRNA from 1 species